rnacentral:rRNA from 1 species
GACCGCUAUUAUUGGGCCUAAAGCGUCCGUAGCUGGCCGAUCAAGUCCAUCGGGAAAUCCGCGCGCCCAACGUGCGGGCGUCCGGUGGAAACUGUUCGGCUUAGGACCGGGAGACCCGAGGGGUACGUCUGGGGUAGGAGUGAAAUCCUGUAAUCCUGGACGGACCACCGGUGGCGAAAGCGCCUCGGGAGAACGGAUCCGACGGUGAGGGACGAAAGCUAGGGUCACGAACCGGAUUAGAUACCCCCGUAGUCC